rnacentral:rRNA from 1 species
AUUGAACGCUGGCGGCAUGCUUUACACAUGCAAGUCGAACGGUAACAGGGUGCUUGCACCGCUGACGAGUGGCGAACGGGUGAGUAAUGCGUCGGAACGUGCCGAGGAGUGGGGGAUAACGCAGCGAAAGUUGUGCUAAUACCGCAUACGUACUGAGGUAGAAAGUGGGGGACCUUCGGGCCUCACGCUAUUCGAGCGGCCGACGUCUGAUUAGCUAGUAGGUGAGGUAAAGGCUCACCUAGGCGACGAGCAGUAGCGGGUCUGAGAGGAUGAUCCGCCACACUGGGACUGAGACACGGCCCAGACUCCUACGGGAGGCAGCAGUGGGGAAUUUUGGACAAUGGGCGAAAGCCUGAUCCAGCCAUUCCGCGUGCAGGAUGAAGGCCCUCGGGUUGUAAACUGCUUUUGUACAGAACGAAAAGGUCUCUCUUAAUACGGGGGGCUCAUGACGGUACCGUAAGAAUAAGCACCGGCUAACUACGUGCCAGCAGCCGCCGUAA